rnacentral:rRNA from 1 species
AACGAACGCUGGCGGCAUGCCUAACACAUGCAAGUCGAACGAUAUCUUCGGGUCUAGUGGCGCACGGGUGCGUAACGCGUGGGAAUCUGCCCUUUGGUUCGGAAUAACAGUUGGAAACGACUGCUAAUACCGGAUGAUGACGAAAGUCCAAAGAUUUAUCGCCAGAGGAUGAGCCCGCGUAGGAUUAGCUAGUUGGUGUGGUAAAGGCGCACUAAGGCGACGAUCCUUAGCUGGUCUGAGAGGAUGAUCAGCCACACUGGGACUGAGACACGGCCCAGACUCCUACGGGAGGCAGCAGUGGGGAAUAUUGGACAAUGGGCGAAAGCCUGAUCCAGCAAUGCCGCGUGAGUGAUGAAGGCCUUAGGGUUGUAAAGCUCUUUUACCCGGGAUGAUAAUGACAGUACCGGGAGAAUAAGCUCCGGCCAACUCCGUGCCAGCCGCCGCGGUAA